rnacentral:lncRNA from 1 species
GGGUCAUACUUUUUAGAUGAUCAUGUAAGUUAAGCUAGUGGAUCCACUAAGUUAAGUAAGGUCCUAUAUCAAGGCAAGGUAUAGGAUGGUCCUUGGGCAACGUGUGGUAAAACGUUGUAUCAUCACUAGGGCUCAUAGUGGUGGUUGUCGGUUAAAGAAUCUCCCACUAAAGUUAUAUUACUUUUAUAUAUAAGUAAAGUUGAGUUUGUUAUUGCUUAUCUUUAACGAACUAAGUUGUUUACACUGUUUUACAAGCUUUAUAUAUAUAUUGCGUGUGUCUUAUUACUUUAUAUUGAGUUCAGUUAUUCAUGAGUUAAACAGAGCCAAAGUAAGUGUUCCUUUAUCCUCCUUUCAAGCUUAAGCUGUGAUUUAACAUUCCAAUUCGCAUACUCGUACAUUCAAUGUAUUGAUGCCAGUUGGCCUGCAUCUUAUUAUGAUGCAGACGCAGGUAACCAGGAUCAGCAUCCAACGCGCCAUUGAUCCCGUUGAGCACUCCAGAGUCAGUGGUGAGCCUCCUUGCAUUCCGAAAGACUCUUUUUAUUUCGCUUUCUUAGUUUUCUUUAUUAGGAUGUUGUGGGGUCUGUCCCAACAUCCAUCUCAGUAUUAUAGAGGCUUCAUGGACAGUCAAACAGUUAGUUUUGAGUCUCGCAUCUAUGUAUUUGCAGAUACUUUGUUUUGAGACAUAAGUUGCCAUUUUGGCUAAGAUGUUAUCAUUUAAACUAUUACUUGAGUUUAUGUUGUUGAGUUAAGUCUUCCGCUGAGUUAAGUAAGCUAGGCCAAGGGUUCGCUUGGGGCCAACAAUGGUCUUCGAGUGUCGGCCACGUCUAGGGUGUAGGCUCGGGGCGUGACAUAGUCAACAAAUCAAUAGUGAAAAAAUCCAACUUCGAAGAUGGAUUGAGUGGAGAAGAGACUAGGGGUAAAUGAUCACAAUUGAACUCAUUUAAAGCUCCAGAGUAAACUUUCUUUGACUUACUAUUAUUCCUGUUGGCUCCCGGAGGAUUUCAAGUCCCUGAAAAUAAUGUAAAUCUCCCAAAUCUUUGAGCUUAAAUUCUGAAUGCAAGAACUCUUUUAGCUGCACUAGUUCUGCUUCAUUGUUUCCUGUUAGAAUAAUAUCAUCUGCAUAGACAGCUAGAAUGGAGAUAUUAGUUCCUGAUAUCUUGAAGAAAAAUGAGUAGUCAUUGAGUGAUGAGCAAAAACCUUUGGAAUUUAAAGCUUCUGCCAAUUUUGAGUACCAUUGCCUUGAUGCUUGUCUAAGUCCAUAUAAAGACUUCUUGAGUUUGCAAACAUGUUGGGAACUAGGUGAUUGCAUUCCUAUUGGAAACUUCAUGAAAACUUCCUCAUCAAUUUCUCCAUGUAAAAAUGCAUUAUUGACAUCUAGUUGUGAAAUAUUCCAUCCUUGCUUCACUGCUAUAGUCAAUAAGCACCUAAUAGUUGUCAUUUUGACAACCGGUGAAUAAGUCUCACUAAAAUCAAUACCUUCCUUCUGAAUAGCUCCUCUAAUCACCAAUCUUGCUUUCAGCCUCUCUAUACUUCCAUCAGAAUUAUGCUUGAUUUUGUAAACCUAUUUACAUGGUAAUGCUUUCCUUCCUUUUGGUAAUUCCACGACUUCCCAAGUUUGAUUCUCAAGGAGUGCUCUAAUUUCAUCUUCCAUAGCCAAGUUCCAUCCCGGAUGUAACGCUGCCUGGGCAUAAGAAGUUGGUUCUGUGAUGUUUGAAAUAGAGUUCAAGACUUGUUGAUUUGUUGUGGAUAGGCUAGCAAAAGAAUAGCUUUUAGGGAUAAUAGGCCGACUGAAACAAGUAUUGGUUAGAUCUGUCAAAAGAACUGCAUUGCAGACAUACUCUUCUAAGUAGGCUGGUUUCUUGUGUAUUCUUUCUGACUUUCUUUGCGUGACUGUGGAAGGUGAAAUAUCUUGCGUCUCAUGCAAGGUCACAGAGUCAAGUCCUUCUGAGUUCCUUGUAUCAACAUGAUGUGAUUUAAUUUCUGUUUCCAAAUGUGAUGUAUGAGGCACCUCAUUCAUACUUUCAGGUUCAUGUUUUGAGGUAAAAAAGGAUCUGGUUCAAUGUUUGGCAGAAAGUCAGUUUGUGAGAUAGAAUGAUCAGUGGUAAAUAUAUGAGUCGGGAAUGAGGUUUGUGAACUUGAGAUGGUGGAAAAAGGGUAAAUAUUUUCAUGAAACUUGACAUUCCUGGAAACUAUUAUCUUUCUAGUAUCCAAAACAAGCAAUCUAUAUCCCUUUUUUCCAUGAGGAUAGCCUAUGAAGACACAUGGAAUGACUCUAGGCUCAAACUGUCCCCUAUUGUGCGCCACAAUACUAGCAUAGCAUAGACAACCAAAGCUCCUAAGAUAGGAGUAAUUAGGAGGACUUCCUAAUAGAACCUCAUAGGGAGUUCUGUUUUUAAGGACUUUAGAGGGAUAUCGAUUUAUAAGGUAUGUAGCCAUUAGGACACACUCUCUCCAAUAUGAAAUAGGCAAUUUAGAUUGAUGAAGUAGUGCCCUCGAUACCUCGAGAAGAUGCUUGUGUUUUCUCUCCACAACACCAUUUUGUUGUGGAGUAUGAACAUAAGUGGUUUGAUGAACAAUACCUUGUGAAGCAAAAAAUUCAGCUGACAGGUUGCUUCCACCCAAUUCCAAUGCAUUGUUGGACCUGAUUAUCUUAACUUUGACGUUGAAUUGUCUUUCAACCAUCACUAGAAAAUACUUUAAGACAGUGAAAGCAUUACUUUUUGUUUUUAGAAGAUGAGUCCAAGUUGCUCUACUAUAGUCAUCCACUAUAGUUAAAAAAUAUUUGUAUCCAUCAUGAGAAAGAGUUUUGUAUGGCCCCCAAGUGUAAAUAUGGAUUAAUUCAAAGAUCUUCUUAGAACUGAUAUUACUAGAUUGAAAAGGUAACUUGGAUUGUCUAGCUAAGGGACAUAUAUUGCAAUUAGCAUUAAAAUGAAAAGGAGAAACAAGAACUGAACAAAUAUUCUUCAUUGAUUGAAAUGGCAUAUGCCCCAAUCUAAGGUGCCACUGCCUUACAUCAAAAGCAUUCUUUAUAGGAAUUGAAAAAGUGCUUGAAACAGAAAGACAUCUAGAUUUUUCUUGAUUGCACAAAUUAACUGAUGUGCUGACGAAACUCUUAAGGUACUAGAAACUUGACUUUAGGAGAUAUAGCCCUGCUCUUGCUUUACCAAAUGCUAGAGGCCUCUUCAUUGAAGGGCCCUGCAGAAAACAACCAAAAGAGGAAAAAAUGAGUAAGCAACUUAACUAUUUACACAACUUGUAGACUGAAAUGAGGUUAUAUUUGAAACAUGGAACAAAUAAGACAUCUUUCAAAAUGAGUUUAGUAUGUAAAGGGACACUUCCAACUUGAGUAACCUUGACCCUAUGAGAAUUAGGAUGAUCAACAAAUACAAGAGUCUUAAGAGUAUUGAGUUCUAAGAAGAUCUUUGAAUCAAAACACAUAUGUUGAGUAGCACCUGAAUCCAAUAUUCAGGUUCUUUGAUUGAAAUCAAUAACUUUAUGAGGUGUUUUAUUGAAAACCUUACCAGCACAAGUCACUGCAUUGGCUGAGCAUCACCACUUGAACCUUCUGAUUGAUUCAUCCUCACAUUUUGAAGCAUAUGAAUCAGUUGUGAAUAUUGAUCCUGGGUGAAAUGUUGUCCCUGUCCUUCUCCAUUAAAAUGUGCUCCACUUUGUCCUUGUGUUCCUUCUAUGUAAGCAACAUUGCUUUUCACAUUUCCCUGGAACCUCUUCGUCUUGGUAAACUUGAAAUCACUUGGAAAACCUAUUAUCUUAUAGCAUUUAUCCACAAAAUGCCUAGGUUUCUUAGAGUGAGAACAAAUAAUAGUGGUUUUGUUUCCCUUAGACUCAUAAUAUCCAGAUCUUUGACCAAGAGUGUUCUGAUUUGUGGCCUAGAAAGAAGCAGAGUUUCCUGGAUAAUGUGUGCUCAUAUACACCUCCCUUUGCUUUUAAUCUUGCAUUAUGAGUGAGUAAGCAUGAUUCACAGAGGGUAAAGAUGAGAGCAUCAACAUGCUACUCUUUCCAGCAACAUAGACAUCAUUCAACCCCAUAAGAAAUUGGAUCAAUCUCUCAUCUUGAAUAGACUUAGCCAUUUUUCCUUUCCCACCACAUUGGCAGUCACAUAAGCAAUUGACAGAACUGUUCAAAGCAUCAAGCUCGUCCCAGAGACUUUUGAUCUUUGUGAAAUAGCCAGCAAUGUCAUUUGAACCUGCACCAAGUCACUCAACUCCUUUUGCAGGUGAUAGAGUUGUGCUCCAUUGGACUGGCCAAAUCUAUCCUCAAGUUCUUUCCAUAGAUCCUUGGCUGUCUUGGAGUAGAUAACACUGUCAGCUAUCUCUUUUGAAAGAGAGUUGAGCAGCCAUGACAGAACCAUAUCAUUGCAUCUGUUCCAUAGCUUGAAAUCUGGUGAUAUCGAAGUUGGUUCUUUGUGAGUACCAUCAAUGAACCCAACCUUAUUCUUAGCUGAAAAAGCUAUUAAGAUUGAUCUCCUCCAUCCACCAUAACCUUUCCCAUUAAAGGGUGAGUUAACAAGAUUCAUUCCUGGAGAAUCUGAAGCAUGAAGAUAGAAAAGAUGAUUGUGAUCAGUUCCAGAGUUGGUGGUACUUCCAGUGCCUGUAGAGCUACCAGAAGUGGGAUCUGUUGUUGUCACCAUUGUUGAACUGAGAAAUGGAGAGUAGGGAUGAAGAAAAGGGAAGAAAAGGCAAUAAAGAGAUCAGAUUCUCAAGGUUGCUCUGAUACCAUGUAGAAAAUCAGAGACUAAGAAUGGGAAAAUUUUUCUUGCUUUCUAUUCAUUCAACUGUGAUGUAUAUAUAUAGAAUACCUAAAGAGAAGAAAACAAAAGUAUUCCUAUACAUGUAUGGAAUUUGAUUGACUAUCACUACAAUCCAAUUUUGGACAGCUAUGUAUGUACUAUUUUGUACAGAAUUUGAAUAAAUCUGUCAAGGGAAUUUGGAUUAUUUGUUGCCUCAUUUCUGCUUCCACUUGGCCCUUUCCUGUUUGUCCAAAUUAGCCUCCAAAUCAGCUCUUCUAAAUGAGCUUGGAUGGUCAGGAUUAAAACUUAUAUUGCUUGAUCCAAAGGUUGUGAAACUUCCAUCUCUUGGGCCACUUGAAGUGUAGACUAUCUGAGAAUCGAACAAUUGAUUGUGUUUAUCUCUGAUUUUCAUUUGAUUGUGAAGCUUCAUUGCAGCAAGAGCUUGAUUAGUUAUCUCUUCUUCCAUGGUUGUUUGUUGAUCUGUAUCAACUUUGCCAUUUUCAAUUCCAACAGAAAAGGGUGCCAACUGUAACUGGAUCGAAAAGAGAGUGGACUGAGCAUCUUUCCAAUUUCAAAGAUCUAUCAGAGCCCAUUUGAAAUGAAGACCCCUGCUCUGACCCCAACUUAUUUGGGACUUAGGAGUAGUUGUAGUAUUAUUGGAGGUCGUUGAUCCCUAAUGUGGGUGCAACAAUACAUUAUUAUAUGAGGAAGGUCAUCUAAUAUGAUCCACCAUAUAAUAAUAAGUGGACAUUCAGAUGCACAAAUCCAUAGAUUCAAUAGAAUGAUGUUGUUGAUUAGAAGGAACAAGUUAGACCAUAUAUCACACAAAAUGCUGGAAAUAUAAAAAAAAUCUCCUGUAGCCAAUGCGGACUUUACUGGGAAUAUACAACAAUGGAUGCAAAAGAAUUCAUACACGUAAUACUGACUAGUUCGGACUAAAAUUUAGUUUUGGUUUUUACACUUACCAUUACUUCUGUUUUUUAGUCAAUUUUCCUUGUAUUAGUUAAAGAUUUGUAUGUCUGUGUUCCAAAAUUGGAAUAAAAGUUAGAUUUAGAAAAUGAACUAGGUUUAGACAACUCCAAGAUUGGAUUGUUAGGACUUCUCAUAACCAAAUUGAAAAGUAAAAGCCAUGAAUAUGGUAAAUUUUCAAAUAAAGUAGUAUUAAAAUUUUGUAUGAUAUGCUUUACAAUUGUGUACUCGUCAAUGUCCGCUUCUCUAAAAACUAUUUUGAGCUAGCAUUUACAAAAAUAAUGUUGGCCUUGACUCAACAAACAAGAAGCUGUCGUUUUCCACUUUCUUGGUGCAAAGAAGAAGUUGAACAGCAGCAUGAAGGAAUCGAGAGGAGCACUGCUCUGAAGAUCUCCAGCAGCUACACCUUUCUUGAUUAGUGAAAUGAUGUAGCUCAUGAAGACUGAAUCACAGGGUAAUGUAAUAGGGCCACCUCUUGGCAACCCAAACUCUUCUUCGGACAUGCUUAAAAGUUGCCUAGUGACCUCAUUUUCAAGGUAAGACAAUGGAACGACAAAGCGAACUUGAUCAGCUGUAUAGACUACAAAAUGGCCUUUCUCAAUUAUAGAGGAUGAAGAUGUACUGCAACUGUCUGCAUCACUUGCAUUUCUUGGAAAUGAAAUCCUCUUCCUCUGCAUAGCGGCAAACUUCUGCCAUUUCCUGGCCAUCUUGAUGAGUUUUUUAGCGCUGAGCAUUGCCAUUUUUUUUUUGUUGGAAGAUUGAAAAUAAAAAAGUAGAGAAGAAAUUUAGAGAGCUUUGAUGGUUGAACUGAUAAUGCUUGUCCUUGAUGAUGAAAAGGCUCAUGAAAGAGAGAUUAUUUAUACAAAAUGGAGCUGAAGUUCUUGUCACUAACCACCGAAGGCAAAACCAUGUGCCUAUGUUUGUUGUCCAAGUUAGUAUGGGACCAAAAAUUUGUGGAUUGAAGCUAGUUUGAAAAUAUAAGAUGAUAAGUUUCUUCCUUUCUUCACUUUGAUCAACAACCAACUAGGCCUAUAAGCUAUAAUAUCAGCUCAUAAGUCAUAGUUGGCACUUCUGACUAUGCUGCCAAUAAUUUGAAAGCAUUAAAUGAACAAUUGCUGGUGAGAAACAAAACCAUGUUCUUCUUCCUUCAUUUUCAUAGAGAUAGGGGACACUUGACUAUCAAGUUGGCUAGUUGUGCUUAGAAAAACCAUUUCAUGUUGUUAUUCUGUUUUGGCCUCUUUCAUCCUAUCUUUAAACCAGGUGGUCCAGGAAAAGUCAUUUUCUUUAUCUAUUCUUGUGCAUUUUUUCUAACAGUGUCCUUUAUAUACACACACACACAUACUAGUCUCUAGACUUGCAACAAACUUUAACUUGGUUAUUUCUAUAAUCCUUCAUUCUUUCUUCAGGUCUUCAAAUGUCGUUGUCUUUCGCCUUUGCAGCCUUAAUGCGGAUACUUCAGCAAAGUCUGAUGCCUGCUGGAUAUGUUGAUAUGGGGCCUUAUAUGUGUGGAUGAAUCUUGUUCAAAAGGAUGUAACAUGAUGACUGUCAUUCUUUCUUCAUUUGGUAGACGACUGAAUAGACCUAUUUAUUAUGUCACCAAAUAACAUUGAGGACAACUUCUCACAUAUAAUAAUAGUCUGAGACCUUUGAAUGAAGAAUUGAUAUCUUAGUGGUGGAUUAAUUUUAUCGAACCAUAUGGUGCUGUAGGCUAUUUCAUGUAAGUAAUGGAUCCCUACACAGUUGUGGAGCAUGGAUUUUCAAUAAAAAGGGUAAAAAUAUAAAGAAGACAAAUUGGGAGACUAGGCAUGUAGUUUUGAUGAUUGACAAAAGUGAACUCGUUGUUACUUGUGUUGCAUGUUGUGAAAUCAGGUACCCUGAGACAGGAAUGCAAAUGUACAAAUUCGGAAGAUUGACAAAUAAGGAAAGC